rnacentral:rRNA from 1 species
AUACGUAGGUGGCAAGCGUUGUCCGGAUUUACUGGGCGUAAAGGAUGCGUAGGCGGUAUGUUUAAGUGAGAUGUGAAAUACCCGAGCUCAACUUGGGUCCUGCAUUUCAAACUGGAUAUCUAGAGUGCAGGAGAGGAAAGCGGAAUUCCUAGUGUAGCGGUGAAAUGCGUAGAGAUUAGGAAGAACACCAGUGGCGAAGGCGGCUUUCUGGACUGUAACUGACACUGAGGCACGAAAGCGUGGGGAGC